rnacentral:rRNA from 1 species
UACGUAGGGUGCAAGCGUUAAUCGGAAUUACUGGGCGUAAAGCGUGCGCAGGCGGUUUUGUAAGUCUGACGUGAAAUCCCCGGGCUCAACCUGGGAAUUGCGUUGGAGACUGCAAGGCUAGAAUCUGGCAGAGGGGGGUAGAAUUCCACGUGUAGCAGUGAAAUGCGUAGAGAUGUGGAGGAACACCGAUGGCGAAGGGCAGCCCCCUGGGUCAAGAUUGACGCUCAUGCACGAAAGCGUGGGGAGCAAACAGG